AAAUUAAUUUUUAAUUUUUUUAGUCUCGCUAAAACUCGAGAACGGCUAAAUCGAUUUGGCUAUUUUUGGUCUUGGAAUAUCCGUGGAAGUCCAGGAAAGGUUUAAAAGGAAUUUGUAUGCUCAGC